rnacentral:rRNA from 1 species
AAACUCAAAUGAAUUGACGGGGGCCCGCACAAGCGGUGGAGCAUGUGGUUUAAUUCGAUGCAACGCGAAGAACCUUACCUGGCCUUGACAUCCAGAGAACUUAGCAGAGAUGCUUUGGUGCCUUCGGGAACUCUGAGACAGGUGCUGCAUGGCUGUCGUCAGCUCGUGUUGUGAAAUGUUGGGUUAAGUCCCGCAACGAGCGCAACCCUUAUCCUUUGUUGCCAGCGGCUCGGCCGGGAACUCAAAGGAGACUGCCGGUGAUAAACCGGAGGAAGGUGGGGAUGACGUCAAGUCAUCAUGGCCCUUACGGCCAGGGCUACACACGUGCUACAAUGGCGCAUACAAAGAGAAGCGACCUCGCGAGAGCAAGCGGACCUCAUAAAGUGCGUCGUAGUCCGGAUUGGAGUCUGCAACUCGACUCCAUGAAGUCGGAAUCGCUAGUAAUCGUAGAUCAGAAUGCUACGGUGAAUACGUUCCCGGGCCUUGUACACACCGCCCGUCACACCAUGGGAGUGGGUUGCAAAAGAAGUAGGUAGCUUAACCUUCGGGAGGGCGCUUACCACUUUGUGAUUCAUGACUGGGGUGAAGUCGUAACAAGGUAGC